ACGUCCUACGGGAGGCAGCAGUGGGGAAUGAUUGCACAAUGGGGAAACCCUGAUGCAGCCAUGCCGCGUGUGUGAAGAAGGCCUUCGGGUUGUAAAGCACUUUCAGUAGGGAGGAAGGUAGUGUAGUUAACACCUGCACUUAUUUGACGUUACCUACAGAAGAAGCACCGGCUAACUCCGUGCCAGCAGCCGCGGUAAUACGGAGGGUGCGAGCGUUAAUCGGAAUUACUGGGCGUAAAGCGCAUGCAGGCGGCCUGUUAAGUCAGAUGUGAAAGCCCGGGGCUUAACCUCGGAAUUGCAUUUGAAACUGGCAGGCUAGAGUCUUGUAGAGGGGGGUAGAAUUUCAGGUGUAGCGGUGAAAUGCGUAGAGAUCUGAAGGAAUACCGGUGGCGAAGGCGGCCCCCUGGACAGAUACUGACACUCAGAUGCGAAAGCGUGGGGAGCAAACAGGAUUAGAUACCCUGGUAGGAUAGCGU
rnacentral:rRNA from 1 species